rnacentral:lncRNA from 1 species
GAUGAAUGCUUUUCCAAAAUUUUGACCAGAAGAUUACUUCCCGUCGGACAAUUGUAAAGAAGAAAAAUAUAUGAUGUUACAUUUGAAACUGUUCUAAAGACCACAUGUACAAGGUAGAUAUUUACUCUUCAUAUUUCUCGAGAUCAUUAUAAUAGUUUUAUGAAUAAGAAUAAGAAGUGUGUUAGUUUAAAAUCCAAACAAUGAUAUAGUUGUUACGACAAUAAACAAUACAUGCAGCAUUGGAAAAAAGAAAACGUUAAUAUUUACUACAAUUAUUUUUGACAACAUACCUCCUCCAGUGGCGUAUCCAGGGGAAGGGUCCUGGGGAUUGGGACCCACUUUUUGGAACGAUCAAUGCAUUUGAAUGUGGAUAUAAAGUUGGAACCCCCAACCUUCCCCCUUUCUCCUUGAUUAGGACCCCCCUUUUUAUCAAAUGGCUGGAUCCGCCCCUUUCCUCUUUAAUGUUAUCAUUUCAAAUUAUCUUUUAAGUUAGUGAAUGAUCAAAACGUGACUUUAAAAUCUUUUUCAUUUUCUAAUAGAUUUUGCAUAUGAUACAUAAAAUUAUCUGACGUUGAAUUGUCGAUGAAGUUAUGGCCACCAGUAAGAUAAAGAAAAGAUCAAAGAAAUAGAUGUACCCUUUUUGGAAUUUUUGAAGUGCUCGUGUCAAACCGGGAUGAACCCCCCCUUUUUUUUCCUCAAUGUUUUUGUAAAUAAAAAAUCUUAAUUAAGAUAAGAUCAGUUUAAAUUGUCCAUUUGUUUAAAAUCCAAAAUUAUAGGAUUGUUACCAAGACAAUAAAUAUUGGCUAUACACAAAGGAGGGUCCAUAAACAUACAAACAUAUAUAUCUGACCACAUUUAUAAACAUUGUAUAUAUAAAUUGGUAUUUAUUACUAGUAUUAUAAAAAGAAAAUGAUCAUAUUAAUAUAUAUCUAUUCUCUGCUGAGGAGGUGGUUAACAAAAGUUAUUUAUUACUCAAUAAAGCAUUUCUAGAAUAGUACAUGUCAUUUGAGAAUUUUACAAUAAUUCUAAGUGUAUCAGUCUCAACACACGUAUACAAUUAUGGACGUUUCGUGGUGGUCUGGCGAUUAGAAGCUCCUUGAAAUGAUAAAUAGGCUAUUGGCUUUUUUUUCCGGUAAAAUAUUUUAAAAAAAAAGAAGCCAAUAGCCUAUAUGUAUAUUAAGGAAACACUUGUAUAUUAGACGUUAAGCACGUUAUUGCGUCAAUACCGUGUAAUCAACCAGUCCAGACUAAUAAACAGCUUUUCUAUAAAAUCAUAACAGUUGGGUUAUAUAAAAUUUAUACCCAAUGACAGACAGGUAAAUAUUAUUUCGAAAAAAAGUACAUAUUGUUUUAUCAUAUUUUACUAAAGUCUAAAAUAAUAUUGACAAAACGUCAAAAAUAUGCAUGUCAGACGUAACAUACUAUCCGCCUUAUAACUUUAGCAGGGGUGUUUGUGUUCUUCAAAACAGUGUUAUAUCCACGAAAAUUCGAAUGAAUGAUAAAAUUAUGCUUUAUAUAUAAAGUAUUACAACACUAAUCGAUAUGCGUUCCUGUAACGACCAACGCUAUUUUUUGGCAAAAACAAGUAGUGUUCAUUAUGGUCAGGUUUUGGAAAAUGUUAAGUUAUCAAAAUUUAUAGGUUUUAAAAUAUAAAAUGAUAUGAUAUUUCGUUUGUGUAAAUUAUGCUCACAAAAGUACAUACAUAGACCAUAUCAAAAUCGAAAUUUUGCAACACUCACACUAAAUUUUAAAAUGCAACGGCUUCUGGCAAAUGUCUUGCAAGAUGUCCAAUGUCGGAUUUCGCCGCUUUUUACAAAUAAAUUGUUAUUUGCGACGUUAUUUAUUGAAAAUUUAGAUUAGUUGCAUGCUACAUAGUGCUUUUCCGUAAUUGUACUUUAACUUUACAAAACAGCUACAUACUUUUUAAUAAUUUGCGUAGUCAAAACGACUUCGUUUUUAAAGAAAUGAAAUGUCUUGCAAGUUUGUCCACUGGACGAUUUUCAUACGUUUUCAACGUUGUCGAUUCGGGGUACGCUAUUUAUGGUGGAUCAUCUGUAUAUAUUUCCUCAGAUGGAAUUUUCUUGAUGGUCAGAUACUAUCAACAAGACAACAAAGUAUAAAAAAAAAAUCCGAUGACUGGGGUUGUUCGAUUAGUUGAGGUUCUUAAGUUGUGAAAAAAGUUUUGUAUCACGAGAGGAUAAAAAAUCCUCUUUUUCAAAUUUAGAAAGCGUAAAACUUCGAUUUUUUUUAUUUCCCUGCAAUAAGAUUCAUAUGUAUAGAACUUGAAAGUGAAAAUAAAAUUGGGCCUUAAGCGUGCCAUUGGCUAUAUAUACCUCUCCACAUCAUACAAAGCAUGUAAGCAUAUGAGAUGAAUUAUAAUUAACAUUUUUUUCUGACAAUAGUUUCAUUUCUUAAUCUAAUCGUACCGCUAUUAAAGAAAGUAAAUUGAAUUUUAUAAGCAAGACCCGUUUAACUUGUAAUUCCCGACAAACUUUUUAUAUUAAAGCAAAAUAUAUAUCUUCCUCCUUUUCGGAUCUAAAUGGGGAAACAUUGCAUUUUAUUACGAUUUAUGUCAAUUGGUCUCUGGUAGAGAGUUGUCUCAUUGACACUCAUCAUACCGUAUAUAUCUUCUCAUUUCAUAUAGACUUAUGAAUUACCCAAGUACGAUAUAUUGUUGUUUUGUUUGUUGCUUAAGUUAAUUCCAGUGGGCAAUAUUUCAUGCAUAUUCAGUACAACCAAACAUUAAGAAGUAUCCAUAUUGAUGUGCAAAACAAAAAUUGCAAGCGAAAUAAGAAAAUAUUCCAAAUAAUCAUUAAUCGCCGUAAAACGUAAAAAGUUGACGUUACCAUUUGAGACGCAAUUAUCGUGCGUAACGUCAUACCUUUAUUAUUCUGAGCCAAUGCAGUCAACUUAACUUCAUACUAGAUUUACCUGCCCUAAACCCCCAUUUUGUCUAAUUGUUUGUCAAGUUUCUAGAUUUUAAGACUUUUUUUCAAUUUAUUUGAUCGUCCUGAAUAUAUAUGAAGUAUUAACAACAACAUUAACGGUACCAAUUUUCUACACCAGAUGCACAUUUCGACAAUACCUGCCUGUCUCUUCAGUGAUGCUCGUGGCCAAAAUAUUUAAAAUCCAAAGCUUAUAUAAAAGUAGAGAGCUAUAAUCCAAAAGGUCCAAAAAGUAUAGCCAUAACAGCAAAUUUUAAUAACACAAAAAAUCCGCAGUUUCAUGUCAGUACCGAAGUACUGGCUGCUGGGCUGGUGAUACUUUCGUGGACUAAGAGUCCACCAGCAGAGGCAUCGACCCAGUGGUAGUAAUAACAUUAACGCUACCAAUUUCCUACACCAGAUGCACAGUUCGACAAUCAAUGUCUCUUCAGUGAUGUUCGUGGCCAACAUAUUUGAAAUCCAAAGCUUAUAUAAAAGAUGAAGAGCUAUAAUCCAUAAGGUCCAAAAAGUAAGUGUCUGACGUGACAGAAAGUCAAGCAAAAAAUAAUUAAUCAAUAUGAUACUGGUCAUUAAUGAAUUCAUAUCGAGCGUUCUUUUGACAAAGAUCAAGGUCAAAGUUACCAGUAGAUGCUAUCUGAUCGAAGUUUUAGAGCAAAUUUCCUAAUGCUUGUAGAGUAAGACUUUGGUUAUCUUGCUUGCUUUGUUUUUAUAUUGUACAAUUGUAUAUGAGAUGAUGUCUAAUUAGAUAUAAAUAAGAUAUAUAAAGGUCUAACAAUGCCUAAAUAUGAUAUAUAAAGGUCUAACUAUGCCUAUCUAUAUUGUUUGCAGAUGUCAAUCUUAAUUACAAUGCUGGAGUAAUCCAUUAUACAAACAAAGCAACCAAGCUAACCAAAGUCUUACUCGACAAGCAUUAUGAAAUUAGCUUUAACGUCCCUGCGCAUUCAUUUAUUCUAAGUUCUUGUUUUUUCUUACGAUACUGUAUACAUGUAUUAUAUUUUUCACACAUUAUUUUUUCAUAUAAGACUGCUAUAGCUCUUAAAGUAAAUUUACUAAAAUUUAAGCAGAUUCUAACAGUUUACUUUUACAAAUUGUGACUUGGACGGAGAGCUGUCUCAUUGGCACUCAUACCACAUCUUUUUAUAUCUAGCCUAUCUAGAUUUCUUUUCUUUCGAUUUGAGACCCAAAUAAUACCAACGCACAUAUAAGGUACAUUACUGAGUCAGAUUUUUCCUGUCAUUUGAAAAUAUUAUUUCGAAAAGGAGCUCGAUACCCUAUUAAUAUUUGUAGCUUAUUUUGUUUUUAAACUAAUGCUUUUCUGAUUUAUAGUAUAAAAAAGAAGAUGUGGUACGAUUGCUAAUGAGACAACUGUCCACAAGAGACCAAAAUGACACAGAAAUUAACAACAAUAGUUCACCGUACAGCCUUCAACAAUAAACAAAACCCAUACCGCAUAGUCAGCAAUAAAAUACCUCGAAAUGAUAAUUCAAAACUAUUCAAACGAAAGAACUGACGGCCUAAUUUAUGUACAAAAAAUGAAAGAAAAACAAAUAUGUAUACAAUGAACAAUUCAAACUACAAACAAUGAAUUACAGGCUCCUGCUGACUUGGGACAGGCACAUGCAUACAUUUUUGUACAUUAGGUGGCGAGGGUAGACACGUUAGCGGGAUCCCAACCCUCCCUCUAACCUAUAGUGUCAAUUUUAAAUUAUAUGUCAUUUUAAGUUCACCUAAGUACAUCCUUAAGCAUCGAUAUAAAAAAAGUGUACAGCUCAUGUCUUUAUGUCAAUAUUCUUUUUUCAGCUAUCGACCAAAAGGACAGGGACAAAGACAAGGAAAACAGCAUUUUAGGAUCUAAAACAAACGAAAAUUGGUUAAUAUCAAGGAUAUGUAUAAUCUCACCAGACAGACGAAAAUUGUUAAAA